rnacentral:RNase_P_RNA from 1 species
AGUUGACUAGGCAAUCGCUGUUAUCAAAUGGUAGCAGAGGAAAGUCCGGGCUCCAUAGGGCAGAGUGCCAGGUAACGCCUGGGGGACGUGAGUCCACGGAAAGUGCAGCAGAAAAUAUACCGCCGACUUUGUCGGUAAGGGUGAAAUGGUGCGGUAAGAGCGCACCGCGCGGUCGGUAACGAGCGUGGCAAUGUAAACCCCACUCGGAGCAAAACCAAAUAGGAAUCUGUGGUUGCGGCCCGCAAUUGGAUUCGGGUAGGUUGCUUCAGGUACAUGGCGACAUGUAUCGCAGAUGAAUGAUUGUCCACGACAGAACCCGGCUUAUCGGUCAACUCU